rnacentral:rRNA from 1 species
GUGGGGAAUAUUGCACAAUGGGGGGAACCCUGAUGCAGCGACGCCGCGUGAGUGAAGAAGUAUUUCGGUAUGUAAAGCUCUAUCAGCAGGGAAGAUAAUGACGGUACCUGACUAAGAAGCCCCGGCUAACUACGUGCCAGCAGCCGCGGUAAUACGUAGGGGGCAAGCGUUAUCCGGAUUUACUGGGUGUAAAGGGUGCGUAGGUGGCAGGGCAAGUCAGAUGUGAAAGCCCGGGGCCCAACCCCGGUACUGCAUUUGAAACUGUCCGGCUGGAGUGCAGGAGAGGUAAGCGGAAUUCCUAGUGUAGCGGUGAAAUGCGUAGAUAUUAGGAGGAACACCAGUGGCGAAGGCGGCUUACUGGACUGUAACUGACACUGAGGCACGAAAGCGUGGGGAGCAAACAGGAUUAGAAACCCUUGUAGUCC